GCUGGAGAUGACCUUUUAUCUUCUGGCCGAGACAGAGUUGUUCUCUUUUUCUACUAAAGCCCUCAUCCAGAUCUACCAAACUCUCAAACAUAGGUGUCUAAGAAUAAAUAUCUACAGCCAGAGCUGGUGCUUCAGGUUCCUGGUGUGGAAGUGGGAUAGAAGAAACAUGAACACAGUUCAUCUGACCCACAUUUGACAACAAAUGAUUUCAACACGUCACUUGCCUGCCAACAAAAGGGGCAAGGGAUGUCCUCUCUGUUUGACACAGUGACCUCUAGAUUUAUAGGCACUGCCUCCACGGUACCAACUAUCCUUAUCCCUGCUCCCAUGGCAACAAGUCUCUGUUCCAGCGGUAACAUCUCUGACUCUUCACCUCCUCCCUCUGCAGCUAUGUUCUACACCGUGGAAGUAGCUUGAUUUUCUCUCACUAGUUUCUUUCCUUUAUUUAUCAGGCCAUCUGUGCUUGUUCCAAAAUGUCUACUGUGAAUAUACCGAUUCUGUAUGUGGCUCUACUUUAGCAAAAAAAUGAGUGAACCCAGGCCUGUUUUCUUUCUUUUCCAACCAUACUCUGAACUCUUCUCUUCUAUGCUUGGCUGUCUGAAAGAGGAAAGAAUUAUUAUUUUAAACAUUGUCCUCCCACAUUUCCAUGGCAGGAUCAGCACGAAUUGAAUUAGAACCACAAUCAUUUUGAAAUGUAAAUUAGAUUAUGAAAGGUUAGAGUUGUAUGUGCU